rnacentral:rRNA from 1 species
GUGGGGAAUAUUGGGCAAUGGGCGGAAGCCUGACCCAGCCACGCCGCGUGAGUGAUGAAGGCCUUCGGGUCGUAAAGCUCUGUGGGGAGGGACGAAUAAGUCUGGUGUUAAUAACACCGGGCCCUGACGGUACCUCCUUAGCAAGCACCGGCUAACCCUGUGCCAGCAGCCGCGGUAAUACAGGGGGUGCAAACGUUGCUCGGAAUCAUUGGGCGUAAAGCGCACGUAGGCGGUUCGUUAUGUCGGAUGUGAAAGCCCUUGGCUUAACCGAGGAAGUGCAUCCGAAACUGGCGAGCUAGAGUACUAAAGAGGAUCGCGGAAUUCCCGGUGUAGAGGUGAAAUUCGUAGAUAUCGGGAGGAACACCGGUGGCGAAGGCGGCGAUCUGGGUAGAUACUGACGCUGAGGUGCGAAAGCGUGGGGAGCAAACAGGAUUAGAUACCCUUGUAGUCC